GCGGACGUGGCGGAACUGGCAGACGCGCCGGGUUUAGGUCCCGGUGCCCCUAGGGGCUUGGGGGUUCGACUCCCCCCGUCCGCA
rnacentral:tRNA from 1 species